GCCCGGGUAGCUCAAUCGGUAGAGCGUGUGGCUCUUAGUGAAUAUCUAGAUAAUCACAAAACCUCAAGGUCGUGGGUUCGAGUCCCACCUCGGGCU